AUUGAACGCUGGCGGCAGGCCUAACACAUGCAAGUCGAGCGAGCGGCGGAGGGGGGAGUAAUGUAUGGGAAAAUGUCUGAUGGAGGGGGAGAACUACUGGAAACGGUAGCUAAUAUCGCACACCAUCAGAUGGGCCCAGAUGGGAUUUGCUAGUAGGUGGGGUAACGGCUCACCAAGGCGACGAUCCACAUCUGGGCUGAGAGGAUGACCAGCCACACUGGGACUGGAACACGGUCCAGACUCCUACGGGCGGCAGCAGUGGGGAAUAUUGGACAAUGGGCGCAAGCCUGAUGCAGCCAUGCCGCGUGUGUGAGGAAGGCCUUCGGGUUGUAAAGCACUUUCAGCGGGGAGGCGUUACCCGCAGAAGAAGCACCGGCUAACUCCGUGCCAGCAGCCGCGGUAAUUC
rnacentral:rRNA from 1 species